UUAAAAGGCAGAUAGAGGGCAGAUUCCUUUAGUAAUUUGCUUCAGAACUUGCUGGUCAUAACAAGAGCCUGACGCAUCGGUAUCCUACGCCAGUAUAACACAGCUCAGUAGCAGAGCCCAUGUCAGCAGGGCUGUACAGAAGGAUUCCAGUGUGUCUGAAUGAAUCUAGUAAAUGCAGAAAAAAGACAUGCGUUUCCAAGGUCAUUGCUUUGCAUCCAUAAGAAGCCUACCGGUUACUCUGGUAACAGCCCAUCAUUUAAGGUCUGACCACCUCAUCAGGAGGAUGAACAGAGGGACAGCAGUGCAAUUCUACACCUGGAGCUGUCGCACAGUGCUGGCAUGAUCAAUCUCCACUGUGGCAAUGGCUACUUUUGUACUCCUUCUCCCCACCACCCACUCAGUUAUGCUGCUGAGGAUGAAGUGUGCACCACCGUGUGUUUGUCUGAGCAGGUCCUGAUUAAAAGGGGCAACCAACAGCUCUGUUCCCAUGCCCAAAAUGGCAACAGCUGACCUGCUGAUGAGAUGGUGCCAGGCUAUGUCUUUAAAAGAAGCCUCCCAGGCAAGAGAUGUGGUUUUUCUAAUCGUUUUUAAUUAGAUUGUAAUGAUUUAUUGCUCAUCUGCAAGGAUUAAUAUUGCAUUCAUUAAAAAUCAUUCAUAUACAAAAUAAACCUAUCCCUCCCAGGUCGAUGAGAACAUGCUCCUUCUGACAGAAUCGAGGUUUCCCUAGACGUGGGACCAUUUGUUCCAUUGUGUCCUUUUGUUACAUGGCUUAUACAGAGAUGAAGCCCUUAAGCUAAGAUUCCUUUUGACACUAACACUGAGACAGACAAAUGGAACAGGGGGUCUGGACUCUGGAACUGCCCAGGAUCCCACCCCCCCCGACAGUCACAAGGGCAAACAUUUAGGAACGUAUGUGGGCUCUGCUUGGUUGAGUGGGAGACCAAGUCUGCUCUGAGAUCCAGGGCUGCGAUUACAAGAGCUUCCUAUGCACGUACAAAGCGAGGAGGGAAAGCGCAAGCCAGAGUCCCGGUGCAUGGCAAACCCUCUGGAUUGCAUCAACAAUUAAGAGAGCUUCCCCAUGCUCCCAGCCAUAUCUUCUUCACUGGGCGAGAGGAAAGGAGAGCAAGACCCCCAGCCCCCCGCCCAUAAGAGAUCACAGACUUGUUGGUUCAGUGGAAAUCCAGGCUGCAGAGGAAGGGGUACAUGGGCAGCCUACAGCAAUCCUUACACUCAAGGCAUGGUCCUUUGGAAGCCAGUCUGGCAGUCAGAGGCAGCCAAAGGCAGCAAUGAGUCAGCAAAGCAGCUACGUGCAUCUCAGAGAAGGGGCAGAAAAGAUGACCAAGGGGCUGUGCUGGACUGUAAAGAAGAGAGUGGGGAAAUACGAGACUAGCCACUGGAGGCACUGCAUGGUUUUGGGAAGGUGAGCUACCCCUUUUAAUCUUAACUUAGCCUCUGUUCUGAUCAACUAAGAGCUUUUAUCUCCUAGACAGAGCAAGCAGCCAGCACCACCCACAAACAAGCAGAAGUAGGUUUCUUAAAGAGAGCACUAGGAAUGCAUCCUCUGUAUGUGGGCAAGAUUGGCCAGAAAGUGACCUCUGAUAGCAAGGGAGCACAAGAGGCGAUGGCUGCGGUCCACUGUAGCACCUUGAUUGUCUUUGUACCAGCAGAUUCUAGCAGAAUUGGAAGUACCUGGACCAAUGCCACAUGCUCAGCAGAAAUCCCUUUGUGAGCUGGGUCUCUAGAGCUCUUUCAUUUGUACAUUCACUGAGCACUGAAUUGAAAUCAAGGCUGUACAUUUUGUGCUGAAAUUUUUGUCACAUUAAGUUUGGGGCCAAGGGCUGAAAAACCACAGAGGCAUUUUGGCCCUUCUGCAUGGAGCUGGAAUAUGUUGAACCAAGUAAAAUAGGACAACCUGCCACCUAAGGGGCUAGGGAGGGAAGAGCUGAUUAAAGCAGCUGAAAGGCUUUAGAAAACAGCAGUGCAGUUGGCCAAGGAUUCUGCCUCCAACGUUCAGUUGCUAUGAACAGAGCCUGAAGAUGGAGCUAAGUGCUUUGCAGAACGGUCCAUCGGCCACAGGAUUUAGACUUCAGCAUGAGAGCUACGCCGCUAGAAAAGCUGACAGAAAAAGGUGCUACAUCAUCAAAUGUCUCCCAUGUUAAGCAGGGGACAGGAGCGGGAAGGGCCAUCUCUGUGUCUAAACUCACUUCUGCUUAGAAGCCCAGGGAGUUCACAGGAGGCUCCAACGCACACUGGAGCCCUCCAGCAAGAACUGCCCUUAGCUGGACGGGCGGUAGCAUGUUCUUAGCUGCCCCCGACAGAUCUACAGUGUUUCCGCUCAGAAACACCUCCAUUAAAACAUUUUAGGCUCAAAAAUAAAAGGAAAAAAUUAUUUUUUAAACUCAAAUAAGGUGCAGUUUGGCUAAAAAAAAAUACCUAGGAAAAUGAGGAUUAUGCUAGUUACCAAUCCCCAUUCAAAUUCAGAUUAGCACCCUGAAACAGAAUAGAUAACACCCACUGAGGCUUACCCUUACCAGGCUCCAAACCACCUCCACAAAGGAAAUCUGGUCUGGGGUUAUUCACCAAUUCCCUAGCUGGCCAUUAGGUGCCGCUCUGCUCCAAUGCACUGAACUAGCAGCUAAAAACUGGGCUCGUUAAGGCAAUUUAGAAGUUGCAGAUAAUCCUGCACAGAAAAAAAAAA